rnacentral:lncRNA from 1 species
AGGUGCUAAUAUCUACAGCCAAUCCGGACAGCCAAGUGCUAAUCCUUAUGUUCAACCCGGACAGCCAAGUGCUAAUCCUUAUGGCCAACAGGCACAGCCAAGCGCUAAUCCAUAUGGCCAAUCUGUGCAGCCAAGCGUUAAUCCAUAUGGCCAAUCUGCACAGCCAAGCGCUAAUCCAUAUGGCCAACCUUCACAACCAAGUGCUAAUCCUUAUGGCCAACCCACACAACCAAGUUCAAAUAAUACAUAUGGUAAUUUUAACCAACAGACAGUGUCUAUGCCCCCUCAAAGUGCAGGAUCUGCUGCACUGAGCAGGAAUGGGAGCUUAAUCUCUCAGACAGGUUCUAACAUUCCUGUCAGUUCACACAUG